rnacentral:rRNA from 1 species
CUGGCGGCAUGCCUUACACAUGCAAGUCCAACGGUAACAGGUUAAGCUGACGAGUGGCGAACGGGUGAGUAAUACAUCGGAACGUGCCCAGACGUGGGGGAUAGCUCGGCGAAAGCCGGAUUAAUACCGCAUAAGCUCUGAGGAGGAAAGCGGGGGACCGUAAGGCCUCGCGCGUUUGGAGCGGCCGAUGGCAGAUUAGGUAGUUGGUGGGGUAAAGGCUUACCAAGCCUACGAUCUGUAGCUGGUCUGAGAGGACGACCAGCCACACUGGGACUGAGACACGGCCCAGACUCCUACGGGAGGCAGCAGUGGGGAAUUUUGGACAAUGGGCGAAAGCCUGAUCCAGCAAUGCCGCGUGCAGGAUGAAGGCCUUCGGGUUGUAAACUGCUUUUGUACGGAACGAAAAGGCGCCUACUAAUACUGGGUGUUGAUGACGGUACCGUAAGAAUAAGCACCGGCUAACUACGUGCCAGCAGCCGCGGUAAUACGUAGGGUGCGAGCGUUAAUCGGAAUUACUGGGCGUAAAGCGUGCGCAGGCGGUGUUGUAAGACAGUUGUGAAAUCCCCGGGCUUAACCUGGGAACUGCAUCUGUGACUGCAAUGCUGGAGUGCGGCAGAGGGGGAUGGAAUUCCGCGUGUAGCAGUGAAAUGCGUAGAUAUGCGGAGGAACACCGAUGGCGAAGGCAAUCCCCUGGGCCUGCACUGACGCUCAUGCACGAAA